rnacentral:rRNA from 1 species
GAAGCGGGGGACCGUAAGGCCUCGCGCGAUUUGGAGCGGCCGAUGUCAGAUUAGCUAGUUGGUGGGGUAAAAGGCCCACCAAGGCGACGAUCUGUAGCUGGUCUGAGAGGACGACCAGCCACACUGGAACUGAGACACGGUCCAGACUCCUACGGGAGGCAGCAGUGGGGAAUUUUGGACAAUGGGCGCAAGCCUGAUCCAGCAAUGCCGCGUGCAGGAAGAAGGCCUUCGGGUUGUAAACUGCUUUUGUCAGGGAAGAAACGGCUUUCAAUAAUACUGAGGGCUAAUGACGGUACCUGAAGAAUAAGCACCGGCUAACUACGUG